GUGGGUAUAGCUCAGUGAUAGAGCACAUGCUUAGCAUGCAUGAGGUCCUGGGUUCAAUCCACAGUACCUCCA
rnacentral:tRNA from 1 species